ACAUACGACCAUAGAUUGAGGAAAAUAGGGCAUCCCGUCCGCUCUGCCAUACUCAAGCCUCAAAUCGGUAAAUUAGUAGUUGAGUGGGUGACCAUCAGCGAAUCCUUACUGUUGUAUGUU
rfam:Sclerotinia borealis F-4128 unplaced genomic scaffold scaffold00053, whole genome shotgun sequence.